GCGAGGUGGAGCAAAUCUCAAAAAGCCGUCCCAGUUCGGAUUGCAGGCUGCAACCCGCCUGCAUGAAGUUGGAAUCGCUAGUAAUCGCGGAUCAGCAUGCCGCGGUGAAUACGUUCCCGGGCCUUGUACACACCGCCCGUCACACCAUGAGAGUCGGGAACACCCGAAGUCCGUAGCCUAACCGCAAGGGGGGCGCGGCCGAAGGUGGGUUCGAUAAUUGGGGUGAAGUCGUAACAAGGUAAC
rnacentral:rRNA from 1 species